rnacentral:sRNA from 1 species
CCCGCCACUGAAGUGGCGGGCUACUAUCGGGCGUCCCUUCGGGACG